rnacentral:lncRNA from 1 species
AAGGAUCUCCGAGUGCUGCCCCUUCUGCCCUGUGUGCCUCUCUUUCUGGCUGUAUCUAGACAAGCAAAACCCUCUCCAGUGUUUCUUGCCAAGUCACUGCUCAGAGCUCAAGGUUGGAGAUCUGCAGCAAGGACAGCCUUCUAUCUGGGCUUUGGUAGUGCCUGAUUGUGCCCGUCCUGCUCCCUGCUGAAUCCAGCAUGGCCAGACCAGCAGCGAGGGCAGCUGCAGUCUCCUGAGAUGGGCAGAUGUCAACAGCAGAAUCUCCCUCAGGACAACGUUGCCCUGGAUUGAUGGGGAUAGCUAUGGGCUGGGAUUAAACCUGCUUUAUUUGGGUGAGUUUCUUUUGUUAGCUAAGCACAUCUAGUACCUCAUGGCAGGAGGGAAUAAUGCUGGCAGAAGAGGGUGAGCACUGGGCUGUGUUCAUACCUGCUCUUACAUUUUGUGUAGCCAGCUGCUUUCCUGCACCCACAAGCCACCAGAGUGGUUUGCACUGCUGGUGCAGCACCCACAUCUUCCACUUAGUGCCCAAAUGUUGAUGUCCUGUAGCAUCGUCCUCUUUUCCUGCAGAGAGGCUGAGACAUACAGAUCAAAUCACUGCCCGAGACUGGUCAACAGAUGCAGAGCACCUAACGGACUGGAGCAGGAGCUGAUGCAGAGCCUGGUGGAGGACAUGAGAGCCUGUCUGGUGAGCUGAACAGGCCGUGGAGAGUAUGUUCCUGUGGUAAAAA